CUCUCUCUCUCUCUUUCUUUUCCGUAUUUCUCUUCAGCAUCAAUUCUUCCCUCUUUAUAGGACCUUCCCUUCAGCACACAGACAUAUUCCUUCUCUGACUCCAUUUUCCCUCCUACCACUCCCAUGUGUCUGUCCUUGUCUUUGUAGCAGUGCUUGUGGGCAGUUAUGCACAUGUGCGUUCUGCAUCCUCUCCCUGAACUCCUUCUUGGACGCCUGAGCUGUGACCUGGUCUAUAGUGGGUGUUCGGAGACUGCAGAGCACCACCAUAACCCAGAAGGCUACAACAACUGGAAGCAGAUUGGGAGUGAGGAGGAAGUGGGCAGAGGAUGUCUGGUGGCCUUGGUGACCAGCAGCUGAGGACCCAUUGAUACCCAGGUGGAGAGGGAGGUGCCGAUUCUCCUGAAUCACGAGAGCAAAGAAAUCACACGUUCUGAGGCCACGAGCUGUCUGCUUUCACCGCGCCUCCCCUCUCAUCAGUGUGGAAGAAAAUCACCAUAUGCGUGAAUGUGACAGCUGAGGCUCAUGAAGACCUGAGUCAGGAGAAACAGGAUAAUACAUAUUUCAAAUGUUCUCUUUCCUAAGCCCAUUCCAUGUGUAAAAUGUUUUAGAAAGAUUUCCAUCCCACAUAAUUAAUUUUUCUUAAGGCCUUGGUUUUUAAAGAGGUAAGCUUGCCAAAUUUGGGCAUUUCACUGACGGGGAAUAUAUCUAAUUCCCCGAAACCUAGGUAAAUUCUUUCCUAAAUGGUAUAUGAUCCAUUAAGGAGUUUCCCAACCGAGUUUAGGGAAUAGAUACAAACUACAAAGCAUACCAUUAAAGAGCAAUUAAAGCACUAGCUCUGCCACAACUAUCAGGAAUAACAGGAUAACUGAAGCAGAGGACCUCACGUGGGCUGGGACAGGUGGAAAAGAUUCCAAGACAGCGCUGCACAAUCGCAAGCUCAUUGCAGGCAGGGAGCUCCGCCUAGCCCUCUUUGCAUCUCCUCUGAAAUGCUUACCUUGCAGGAGGUACUCUGAAAAUGCUUCCUGACUGAUGUCUGUAGGGGUGAGAUUUGGUGGGAGAAUAAUACAGCUAAUUGUGUAUGUGCGAAAGGGUUUGGUGUGAAACAGAGUGACUUGAUCUAGAUGAAUGAAAAGCCGUGUGGGGGAAUUGUGAGACAUCCUUAUUGCUAUGUAGGCUGCAGCAGAGGAUUGAAACAGCUGGUGGAUAGGGCAGCGCUCCAGGAUGUUGGCGUCCACGUGAGUUCCUGAGCUGAAGUCUGCAGAGCACCACCAUGACCCGGAAGGCAUACAGAACUUGGAGUGGAGGGAUCAGGAUUCAGAGCACGUUUCAGCGCUACACCAGUGAUUGAAGAUGAGGUCAGCUGUCUUGAGAAGCUUUACUGGAGGACAGAGGAAGCUUCCUUAGAUGUUAUCUUUGGCUUUCUUGGAAAACCCUCAGAGCACUCGCCUGCCUGCUCUAGAGUUGCUGUGCCUAAUUCGCAGAGAGGACUAUUUGCACUCCACAAGUUUCCUGUGUGCAGGUGGCAUCAUGUGACUCUCCCGGCUGCUGGGACAUGAGAGCACAGAAUGUGUCCCCUUCAGGCCACAGUGGGGUGUCUGUGCACCUGGCACACAUGUGGUGGCUUAGAGACCAUGAAUGGCCAUGUUGGCAAUGGAGGGAGCCUGGAUUCCUCACACUGUUUGGAGCAGAGCCUGUGAGGAACAUCUAUACCAGACUUCGUAUAGCAAGAGAAAACUUUAAUUUUGUUAUUCAUUUUGACAUUUUCAGACAGCUGUUAGAGCAGCUGUUUUAUCUUUCUCAUGGAUACAUUUAUCAAUAGGAAUAUGCAAUCAUCAGAUUAGAUCAGAAAGACUAGUUUUUGAGAGUUGCUGCAAUAGCUUAGCCCUGAAUUGUGGAGCAUCUCCUGUAUGCUGGGCACUCUAGCAUACACCCUUUAAGUCCCCCUGCCAUUCCUACGUUUGCACAGGAGUCCAGGCCUCAAUAAGAUGAAGGAAUUCACCCAAAGCUAACAACCAGAAAUGGAUGGAAUUGGAACGGAAUCUAAAGCCAUGAUUUUUCCCCGGCAACACACUACGUUUAAGGGUUUAAAAUCACGGACUACUGUAAUAAUUCGUUCAACUCCUCUUUUUACAGAGGGCCAUGGAAAGUAAAAGGAAGCAACGUUAGUUUCUUGAUUUUUUAAAAAUUUUGUGCACAGUGCAGUUAACGGGGGGCCAUUUGACAAAGUCUGGAGACACUUUUUCUUGUCAAAAGUGGGAGGUACUCCUGGCAUUUGGGAGGUGGAGACCAGGGAUGCUGCUGAACCCUACAGUGCACAAGAUGGCCCCUUUGACAGGGAAGUCCCGUGUCUCCAUAUCUAGCCCCAAAUGUCAACAGUACUGAGGUCGAGAAACUCUGUUAAAGGUCAUUCAACCACUGCAUGGCACAGAGGGAAUUCAAAUCCAUGGAAUUACUACUAUAUAAUGUGUCUCUCCAAAAAGGCUCAUUAUCACUGACCAAGAAACUUGGGCUCACUGUUUUAACUGAUUAGUUGGGAAACUCAAGAGAUGCAUGAUGGAAAAAUUUAAAUACUUUGAUCUUUAUGAGGCUGUGAGCUCUUAGCGUUCAAGAAUGAAAGACAUUUCUUAUUGGCUUUUCAAUGUCUAGCAACUGGCACAUUACAUAGUAUGUUCUUACUGACAAUUUGUUAAAUUAAUGCAUGAGUCAUAAAGCAAUUUUUGGUGCCCCCAAAGUUGAUACUAAUGACAGCCACUUUUUAACUAACUUAAGAAAAAUAUUUUAUCAAGUAUAUAUUUUUCUGAUUGACAUGAAAGAUAAGCCUGUGAAACUCCUCUCAGUCCUCCAGUGGGAUGCCCCGUGCCUUUAAAUGAAUUUUACUGUUGGUCUUUGAGUGCAGUAGGCCCCAUUUCCCCUUAAAAUUGUGGGCUGCAUUUCCUCUUAUGCUGUAUAUUUAUAGCUGCUGCCUCCUAAUUUCUUCUGAGUCUUGUUAUUCUUGGCAGCUGUUGUCAAAGAGUAUUCACCUCUCCCCUGGGUGUUUUUCUAAAACAAAAAUAAAAUAAAUAAGGGUUUCUCUGUGCCUUGGUCUUUUGGAUCAUCUUCCCUGCUGCUCCCCAGCAAGGUCUAAUUUGCUAGUCUGGAUUUGCUUCCGUUGGUAAAAAGAGUCUCUUUUGCAGAGGUGCUUCCUUAAUUGGCAUUUUUUUUUGUUGGGGCUUGGGAAGCUGGUUCUUCCCACUCACCCCCAGUUCACUAGUGUCCCCACGUGAUCUGCGGCUGACAAGAGGCAGAGACAGGCCCAUCCAACUCCUUUCUUGUCAAGAAAACUUCACUCCUCUGUAGUUGGAUUUUACCCUUAACUCAGAGCCCUUGGAGUUCAAGGGCCUCUGAAAACCAGUUUUCACAGCCCAGGAUCCCACACAUGUCAUCUGAGCUGCACCCAGUGUAUUAGAAAAAUAGACGACAUGUGGAAAGGAGAAAGAUUUUAUAUUCAAGAGCUCCCCCACCUCCAGAAAGAAGCUUCCUGAUUAGGAAAAACACCCUUAAGGGUGGGAAGUGACACACUGAUUUGACGUGGGCAACCAUGAAUGAGUCACAACAGUGACUUCCCUGUUGGGCUUUGAGCUGCUCACCUGUUGAUAUCCGUUUCUCUGUUAACUCUAAUCAUAACAGGUGAAGCUGACCUGCUUAAAGGAUGGAAUUUGUAGAUUCUCGUGGUUUUCUGUAGAGUCAACUUCUUUGUCCUUUAGAUUAUCACUGUUGCCUAAAAUGUUGCUGUUCGUAUGAGAAAUGGUCACAUGUACCAUUAAUAACAACAUGCCACAUUCUCAGAGCUACAGUGGCAGGCUUUAUUUUAUUGUACUUCGUUUAUCUGAGUGUAGCCACUCUCUCAGAUACAUCUGAAAUCCCCGUGGAGGGAGAGGGAGAGGUGAUCUCUUGUUUUGGAAUGGUGAUAGAGGAGAAUGGAAUGUCAUGCCUGGGCCCAAACUCAGUAAGAAAGUUUCUCUGAACUCUGAACUUAUUCCUGUUAGUUACGGCACUCAGCCUACCCUGAAUUUCCUGCUCUCCCUCCCGGUAGCAUCUACCCACUGGCACACACCCCU
rnacentral:lncRNA from 1 species